UGAGUACAAGAUGCUACGGCAUUGAAGCAGUCUAUGUCAUACUUCCAAGAAGAGCUUGCAAUGUCAUAAACAAAUAAUGCCUGUACCAUAACCGACACAGGUGGGUAGGUAGAGUAUACUAAGGGGCGCGAGAUAACUCUCUCUAAGGAACUCGGCAAAAUGACUCCGUAACUUCGGGAGAAGGAGUACCUUAUUUUAUAAGGUUGCAAUAACAAGGUCCAAGCAACUGUUUACCAAAAACACAGGUCUCCGCUAAGUCGUAAGACGAUGUAUGGGGGCUGACGCCUGCCCAGUGCCAGAAGGUUAAAGAAGUUGGUUAGCAUUAGCGAAGCUGAUAACUGAAGCCCUGGUGAACGGCGGCCGUAACUAUAACGGUCCUAAGGUAGCGAAAUUCCUUGUCGGGUAAGUUCCGACCCGCACGAAAGGCGUAAUGAUUUGGAUACUGUCUCGGAGAGGGGCUCGGUGAAAUAGACUUGUCUGUGAAGAUGCGGACUACCUGCACCUGGACAGAAAGACCCUAUGAAGCUUUACUGUAACUUGAGAUUGAAAUUGGACUUUAUUUGCGCAGUAUAGGUGGGAGACCUCGAAAGUAUUCUUGCGGGAAUAUUGGAGUCAUCAGUGAGAUACCACUCUUAUAAUGUUAGAUUUCUAACUUUGUAUCAUUAUCUGGUCAAAGAACAGUUUCAGGCGGGCAGUUUGACUGGGGCGGUCGCCUCCCAAAUGGUAACGGAGGCGCACAAAGGUUUCCUCUGAACGUGUAGAAAUCGUAUCUAGAGUGUAAAGGCAUAAGGAAGCUUGACUGUGAGACCUACAAGUCGAGCAGGGACGAAAGUCGGUCUUAGUGAUCUGACGGUGCUGAGUGGAAAGGCCGUCACUCAACGGAUAAAAGUUACUCUAGGAUAACAGGCUGAUCUCCCCCAAGAGUUCACAUCGACGGGGAGGUUUGGCACCUCGAUGUCGGCUCAUCGCAUCCUGGGGCGGUAGUACGUCCCAAGGGUUGGGCUGUUCGCCCAUGAAAGCGGUACGCGAGCUGGGUUCAGAACGUCGUGAGACAGUUCGGUCCAUAUCCGGUGUAGGCGUUAGAGUAUUGAGAGGAGCCUUCUUUAGUACGAGAGGACCGAGAAGGACAUACCUCUGGUGUACCAGUUAUCGUGCCAACGGUAAACGCUGGGUAGCUAUGUAUGGAGAGGAUAACCGCUGAAAGCAUCUAAGUGGGAAGCCCACCUCAAGAUAAG
rnacentral:rRNA from 1 species